GGGUCGUUAGCUCAGUUGGUAGAGCAGUGGACUCUUAAUCCAUCGGUCGUAGGUUCGAAUCCUACACGACCCA
rfam:Thiocapsa marina 5811 ctg449, whole genome shotgun sequence.